rnacentral:rRNA from 1 species
AGAGUUUGAUCCUGGCUCAGAUUGAACGCUGGCGGCAUGCCUUACACAUGCAAGUCGAACGGCAGCACGGGUGCUUGCACCUGGUGGCGAGUGGCGAACGGGUGAGUAAUACAUCGGAACAUGUCCUGUAGUGGGGGAUAGCCCGGCGAAAGCCGGAUUAAUACCGCAUACGAUCUACAGAUGAAAGCGGGGGACCUUCGGGCCUCGCGCUAUAGGGUUGGCCGAUGGCUGAUUAGCUAGUUGGUGGGGUAAAGGCCCACCAAGGCGACGAUCAGUAGCUGGUCUGAGAGGACGACCAGCCACACUGGGACUGAGACACGGCCCAGACUCCUACGGGAGGCAGCAGUGGGGAAUUUUGGACAAUGGGCGAAAGCCUGAUCCAGCAAUGCCGCGUGUGUGAAGAAGGCCUUCGGGUUGUAAAGCACUUUUGUCCGGAAAGAAAUCCUUGGCUCUAAUACAGUCGGGGGAUGACGGUACCGGAAGAAUAAGCACCGGCUAACUACGUGCCAGCAGCCGCGGUAAUA